AAAUAUUUUCUUUUCAAUAUUGAAGGAAAUCUCACCAUCAUACAUAUAAAGUGAUAAAAUUUUAAAAAUAUACUUCUCAACUGCAUAUAACACUACAACAAAAACAGUCUAUAGCGACACUUUUAAAUGUCGGUAUAGGUCAAAAAAAGUGUUGCUGACUAAAUUACUGAUACUUUUAAAAAGUAUUGCUAUAUAUGGGGUCGCUAGGUAUAUAGUGACAGUUAAAGAGUGUCGCUAUAACCUAAAAAGAGUAAUGCUUAUUUAUCAAUACUUAUUUAAGCAUUUAGCAACCGCUGGAACUCUACUUUGUUGGCUGCGGUGGCGGAGGAGGAUGAGAGGGAAGGGCUCUUCGUUUAGAAUUUCAGUAGAUUGAGUGAGGGGAGAAGGGGAGAUGGUAAUUGAUUUUUCUUUUUUUUUUUCUUUUCUGUUUGUAAUCGAGCCGAAUAGGCUGGGUGGGGUGGGUUGAGUAGAAUAGCCUUUUAUUUUUGAUUGGAUUAGGCUUUAUAUUUAGGCAUUAGUAGAUUUUUUUUAAAGUUUUGGCAUAAAUGAGACACUUAUACAAAAGUGUCCCAAACAUGUGUCCCUAUAAUCUAAUUUUAUUGUAUAACCAAACAAAAUAUUUAUAAUUAUAGAACUUUCUACUAUAUCAAAAAAAACAUGAUGUACAUAAUUAUAACUGUAUGUCAUGUAUCUCUAACCAUACUGUACUUCUAAGUUCUAACUACAUCCAACCAACCAAC
rnacentral:lncRNA from 1 species